rnacentral:rRNA from 1 species
CAGUAGCCACGGUAAUACGGAGGGUGCAAGCGUUAAUCGGAAUUACUGGGCGUAAAGCGCACGCAGGCGGUCUGACAAGUCAGAUGUGAAAUCCCCGGGCUUAACCUGGGAACUGCAUUUGAAACUGUCAGGCUGGAGUCUUGUAGAGGGGGGUGGAAUUCCAGGUGUAGCGGUGAAAUGCGUAGAGAUCUGGAGGAAUACCGGUGGCGAAGGCGGCCCCCUGGACAAAGACUGACGCUCAGGUGCGAAAGCGUGGGGAGCAAACAGGAUUAGAGACCCGCGUAGUCCCUGUCUCUUAUAC